GGCUGGUCGGAUGUUAGUGGGUUAUCAGAAUUUAUUAACAUUAGUGUCACUAAAGUUGGUAUACUAUCCCCCACUGCUAAAUUUGACUGGCAAAA
rnacentral:Y_RNA from 1 species